rnacentral:tRNA from 1 species
GCCUAUAUAGCUCAGUAGGUAGAGUGCCACCUUGGUAAGGUGGAGGUCACCGGUUCGAUCCCGGUUAUAGGCUCCA